rnacentral:rRNA from 1 species
UACGUAGGCAGCAAGCGUUGUUCGGAAUCACUGGGCGUAAAGCGCACGUAGGCGGAUUGUUAAGUCAGGGGUGAAAUCCUGGAGCUCAACUCCAGAACUGCCUUUGAUACUGGCGAUCUCGAGUCCGGGAGAGGUUGGUGGAACUCCGAGUGUAGAGGUGAAAUUCGUAGAUAUUCGGAAGAACACCAGUGGCGAAGGCGGCCAACUGGUCCGGUACUGACGCUGAGGUGCGAAAGCGUGGGGAGCAAACAGG